UACGUAGGGGGCUAGCGUUGUCCGGAUUUAUUGGGCGUAAAGAGCGUGUAGGCGGCCAGAUAGGUCUGCUGUGAAAACUCGAGGCUCAACCUCGAGAUGUCGGCGGAAACCAUUUGGCUAGAGUCCGGAAGAGGAAAGUGGAAUUCCUGGUGUAGCGGUGAAAUGCGCAGAUAUCAGGAGGAACACCGGUGGCGAGGGCGGGUCUCUGGGCCGAUAUUGACGCUGAGGAGCGAAAGCGUGGGGAGCAAACAGG
rnacentral:rRNA from 1 species